UUGCCAAAAUUGUUUCCUAUUUCUAAACUCCAAGCAAACAGUUUGCCACACAGAGUGGAAGCUAUGGCACUGAUCAGAGUGCUAGCAAGCCUUCUGAUACUACAGCUUUCUUACGGUAAGAGCCUGGACAGUGGAGCAAAAGUACGGCAAGCUCAAACUCUGGACCAAAUGCUUCUAAAAGCCCAUCCUUUUUAGAAGCUAAUCUGAACUUUUCUUAGUUCAACUGAUUAGCAUAAUCUGACUGGCAGUGAUACAGUUAAGUUAUUGAGCAGCAGAGAAGCAGAGCAAAAUAUGCUAUAACUUUUGAGAAGACCAGAUGCCUUAGAUCUCAGCCAUCAGAAUGGCAGAAUCGUGCGAUUUAACCUGUUUCCAGCAUUGCUGGAGAUGUAAAGAAUAGUAUUUUUGUAUAUCUGAGGCUUCAAAGUUAAAUGUCCCCUUUUUUUUUGUGUACUUCAUUUCCCUUGAAUGGUAAACUUGAAAGCCGGGACUUAUUGUUUAUGUUUACCAUAUGUUCUGAUUUGGCCAAGAUGGUCCCAGUUUUUGGCUCCAGUAUAAGCACCCUAACUGGUAUGCAAAAUGUCCUGGAAAGUAGUGCUGUACAGACCUGCAAAAGGGGACUCAGAUUUAGUCACGUAUUAAUAACUAGUUCCCCAAUGUGCAGGGAACUCAAUGAAAGGAACUAAGCAUCUAUCCCCAGCUUUUCUUGUGCAAAUUUACAGAUUAUGGCCUUUUGUCUUGAAGAUGUGUGGAGUUCAAUUCCCAAAAUUCACCAUGCUGUCAGGGGAAUUGUAGGAAUUAAAAUCCAUAUAUCUUCAAGUU